GGCGAACGCUGGCGGCGUGCCUAAUACAUGCAAGUUGAGCGAUGAAGAUUGGUGCUUGCACCAAUUUGCAGAGCAGCGAACGGGUGAGUAACGCGUGGGGAAUCUGCCUUUGAGCGGGGGACAACAUUUGGAAACGAAUGCUAAUACCGCAUAACAACUUUAAACAUAAGUUUUAAGUUUGAAAGAUGCAAUUGCAUCACUCAAAGAUGAUCCCGCGUUGUAUUAGCUAGUUGGUGAGGUAAAGGCUCACCAAGGCGAUGAUACAUAGCCGACCUGAGAGGGUGAUCGGCCACAUUGGGACUGAGACACGGCCCAAACUCCUACGGGAGGCAGCAGUAGGGAAUCUUCGGCAAUGGACGAAAGUCUGACCGAGCAACGCCGCGUGAGUGAAGAAGGUUUUCGGAUCGUAAAACUCUGUUGGUAGAGAAGAACGUUGGUGAGAGUGGAAAGCUCAUCAAGUGACGGUAACUACCCAGAAAGGGACGGCUAACUACGUG
rnacentral:rRNA from 1 species